GACGUAGGGUGCGAGCGUUGUCCGGAUUUAUUGGGCGUAAAGAGCUCGUAGGCGGCUUGUCGCGUCGGCUGUGAAAACCUGCAGCUUAACUGUGGGCGUGCGGUCGAUACGGGCAUCACUGGAGUUCGGCAGGGGAGACUGGAAUUCCUGGUGUAGCGGUGAAAUGCGCAGAUAUCAGGAGGAACACCGGUGGCGAAGGCGGGUCUCUGGGCCGAUACUGACGCUGAGGAGCGAAAGCGUGGGGAGCAAACAGG
rnacentral:rRNA from 1 species